GUGAACGCUGGCGGUAGGCCUAACACCUGCAAGUCGAACGGCAGCACAGUAAGAGCUUGCUCUUACGGGUGGCGAGUGGCGGACGGGUGAGGAAUACAUCGGAAUCUACUUUUUCGUGGGGGAUAACGUAGGGAAACUUACGCUAAUACCGCAUACGACCUACGGGUGAAAGCAGGGGCUCUUCGGACCUUGCGCGAUUGAAUGAGCCGAUGUCGGAUUAGCUAGUUGGCGGGGUAAAGGCCCACCAAGGCGACGAUCCGUAGCUGGUCUGAGAGGAUGAUCAGCCACACUGGAACUGAGACACGGUCCAGACUCCUACGGGAGGCAGCAGUGGGGAAUAUUGGACAAUGGGCGCAAGCCUGAUCCAGCCAUACCGCGUGGGUGAAGAAGGCCUUCGGGUUGUAAAGCCCUUUUGUUGGGAAAGAAAAGCAGCAGGUUAAUACCCCGCUGUUCUGACGGUACCCAAAGAAUAAGCACCGGCUAACUUCGUG
rnacentral:rRNA from 1 species